rnacentral:tRNA from 3 species
ACCUAGAUAGCGAAGUCUGGUCAAACGCGACGGUCUCCAAAACCGUUCCUUCGGGUUCGGGGGUUCAAAUCCCUCUCUAGGUG